rnacentral:rRNA from 1 species
AAUUGAAAUUUAUUAAGUUGAUAUUAAUCAAUGUAAUUAUAUAUCGCAUUAUAAAAACAUUAUUAAAUUAAGUAAUGGUGACUAAAACUUAUUAUAAAUAAACUAUUAUAAGAGUACUGAAAAGGAAGAAUUAAAUUGUAUAAAAGAAAAAGUAAAUCUUUGUACCUUUUGCAUCAUGGUCUAGCUAGAUUUAAAUUUUAAAUAAAUUUUCUCGAAAUCUAAUGAGCUAUCCAUAAUAUGUAUUUUAGUAAAUUAAAAAAGUAAUUGUGGCAAAAAUUUUUUAAUAAUUGUGGAUAGAAAUGAAAUUUUAUUCGAAUUAGAUGAUAGCUAGUUUUCUUAGAAAAGCAUCUUAGUGCUAUUAAUCAAAUUUUUAUAUAAGAUUUAUCUUAGAUAAAACUUUGAUUACUUUAGAUUUUUGAGGAUAAGCUCAUAAAUGUUUUAUUAAAACACAUAAUUUUAUUCUUGAUUUAAGCUUGAAAAUAGCUAUAAUAUUAAGAUUUUGUUAUAAUAUUAAAUUAAAUUAAUAAAUAUAAUAACUUUGUUUUAUAGAUUUAUAAGAAAAAGUUCAUAAAUUUAUAUAUGAAUUAUAUUAAUGCUAGGAUGAGUAUUAAAUGAAUUAUAAUGUAAUUUAUAAAAUUAAUAUAUAAUAUACAAUCAAUAAUUAUUUUUACAAAAUUAUAAAAAGGAACUCGGCAAACAUUAUUAUUCUGCCUGUUUAUCAAAAACAUGGCUCUUUGACAAUAUAAUAUAAAGAGUCGGACCUGCCCAGUGAAUCUGUUUAAACGGCCGCGGUACUCUGACCGUGCAAAGGUAGCAUAAUCAUUUGCCUUAUAAUUGAAGGCUGGUAUGAAUGGUUUAACAAGAAUAAAGCUGUCUCUUUAUAAUUAAAUAGAAUUUUAUUUUCAGGUGAAGAAGCCUGAAUUUAAUUAAAAGACAAGAAGACCCUAUCGAGCUUAAAAUGAAUUAAUAGAAUUACAAUGAUUAUAAGUUAAAAGAUUAACUUUAACUUAUUUUGGUUGGGGCGACAAAGGAACAUAAAAAGCUUCUUUUUAUCAAGAAUUUAAAACAUAUAGGUAUUUGAUCCAAAGAGUUUUGAUUAAAAGAAUUAGUUACCGUAGGGAUAACAGCAUUAUCUUUUUUGAGAGCUCAUAUCGAAAAAAAGGUUUGUGACCUCGAUGUUGGACCAGAAUGUCCUGAAGAUGCAGAAGUCUUUAAGGGUUGGUCUGUUCGACCAUUAAAAUUCUACGUGAUCUGAGUUCAGACCGGCGUGAGCCAGGUCAGUUUCUAUCUUUUAUUAUGAAAUAGUAAGUUUAGUACGAAAGGACCAACUUAUAAUAUUAUAGAAUAUUUUUUAGGAAACAAUAUAAUAAAAAAGUUAAUUAAAUUUUUAUAAAAUA